rnacentral:lncRNA from 1 species
AUCCACUUACUGUACUGGAAAUACUUUGAAAAUACUUUAAAAACUACAUAGUCUAUGCAAUCACAAUACCCACUUACUAUGCUGAAAAUACUUUUAAAACAUUUCAAAAACUAUGUAUGCCAUGAAAUCACAACACCCACUUACCUUGAGUCUGAUGCAAUUAAUUUAAGCUUUCUAUAUUAUGACAGAGUCUCCCCUUAUAUUUUUUUUUCAGUUUUCUCUGGUCACUCCGUCAGAGUCUUCCUUUAAAAAUACUUCAAUUUUCUCUUUUCACUCAAGCAAAGUCUCCCAUUAUACUUUCAUCAAUUUUCUACCAAAAUUUUGGUAGCAUCUUUCUUUAAAAUUAUCGUUGUUUUACACUAAAAAAUAUCCUCAUGAUAGGUAAAUUUCUCUCUUUGAAAAGAAACUUGAAACUACAUACCUUACAGGACAUGCUGCUUUAACCUUCGGUAAAGUCUCGACCUAAUUUCUAAGCUUUUUCUCUCAAAACUCUGAUAGCAUUCUAGGGUGUUUUUAAGCAAUAUCGAACCUCAAAAGUGCUAUUCAUGUCACUUAAAAAUCAUCCUCAAAGUUUCAAAAGAAAUGGAAUUAAAAUGAGAGAGAAAAAUCACCUUAAGCCCGUAGAUUCUCCCUUGGUUAGUUGUGAGCUUUUGCUCUCUUUUUCUUUUCUUUCUUUCUUUGUUUUUCUUCUUUUCUUCUUCCCUCCUCUCUCUUUCUCUCACAAUUGGGUAGAGUUUUUUCUAGGAAAAACUCCCAAAUUCCAUCAAUUUCUCUCACUUUUAUUGGGUUCAUUCCCUUUUUUUCUCUUUUUUUCCUCUUAUCUUACUCUCUCUUUUUUCUCUCUCUAACCUUGCUUUCUCUCAACUCUAGAAUGCUUUUUGCCUUCUUCCCACACCCCUUUUUAUAAGGGAGCGAUAUCCAUGCAAGUUGAUACGCAUGGGAGAGGUGGCAAAACGUGAUUGACUACUUAAAUGUCCUCAAGCUUUAUCCUUAUUCUUAUCUCUUACUUUCCUUAGCCUUUAAGUAAUUUUAGAGUAUUCUAAUCUUAUCCAGACCCCUCCAACGUCUUAUCCACUGUCUAGGAGCUUUCAUACCAGAUUUGGCCUCCAUUCUAUAUGUUUUGUGUCACCUUAGGCCCAUAUAAACCCAUAAGGCCCAAAACUGCACUCUAUGCACAUGCCUUUACUUCAAACAUAUAACUCCAUCAAUUCUUAUGUGUUUCCAGCUCAUUUUACCUUCACUUGCUCAUUGUAGUUUUUGCUAUUUAACAACCAAAUGUGGGCUCCAAACAACAACAUUUGGCCCAUCUGAGGUCUACCUAAGUCCUAAAAGGUCUAAACCACACUUAAAGUUAAGCCCAAGCUCAAACCCUUAGUUCAAAACUCUUUAACUUGUUUAAUUCUUAAUCGUUUUGGACAUGCAUGUGCUUCACGUGUUCCCCAAGCAGGCAGCUAUCACAUAGUUUUAGUUUGGGCUUCAUCUGGGUCCAUUUCACCCACUUAUGGCCCAAAAAAUCUCAAAAGGUCAAAAUUAUCCUUUAUGUGCAUGUCUCUCGUGUUUGGCCUCAUUUCUCCCAAUGUUUCUCCUAUAGAAAUUUUUAUUUUCCUAAACAUUUCUUCCUUAAUAUUUUGGCUAGUCAUUAGCUGUAUUUGAGUCUCAAGUUCUAAGUGUUUAGUCUCGGGACACAAAUCAACCCCAAAGGGACAAUUAGAGCUUCUCUUGGGAUUUCCCCCUCACAUGGGGGAUUUCUCUCUUGAUUGUUAAUCCAAUUACUCUCUCAUAUCUCCAAAGCAUCUUCUUAGCUUUUACAAUAUUUUUCUAGUCUCGAGAAGUGUUCUUAGGACUAGAGAACUUAGUUUCUUCCUAUUGAGGCAAAAAUUCUUCUCAAGGGAUUCUUGUUACCCCAGUCUCAUAAAUUUCACUCAAUUUGACUCGAAACUUAGUCCUUAACCUUAUCGCAUCUUCUUUCAUAUACAUACACACUUAAUCAAUCAUAUCAAACACAAGAUUUCAAAUUGGAAAAAUUCGGGCCAUUACAUCCUACCCCCCCUUAAAGGGGAUUUGGUCCUCCAAAUUCAACUUACCAAGAGUCUCUAAUUUUGAUUUACCAUGAGGGUCUUUGUCCUUCAUAUCCUAUGGUUAUGGUAGCGAAUACAUCAGAUCCUCCAAUUACCUCAAGUAAUUCAUUUAUCUCCAUAAUAAAAUUAGGACUUUUUAUUGUAUUUGUUGCUUCAUUUCUAAGAAAUAUAUGUACCCCACUAUUGGAUAUUUCUUUUCUACCUCCCGAACAAGGUGCAUUCAUUAGGAACUUGUCUUUAAAUCUCAUUAAAUUAUUUCACCUUACAGAACUUCUCAUAAGGGUCUAUACUAUUAUUCUCAAAUGGAGCAUGGUCUGGAUGGUCUCUAAAUAAUAACUUGAUAAUUGAUCAAAUGCUCAUAGAGUCUUUAACCUUUAUAUAAUCAAUAAUGGAACUCCUCAUAAUGAUGUAGUAGACUUUAUGGCGCUUAAUUGCUUUCACGUGGCCUCAACAUCAUAUUUAUGUUUGCAUUCUUCUAAAUCAAGAUCUUUUCUCCUCACUCAUUGACUUGGUACCGAAGCAACUUAUUCUUCUUAGUUAAAUCAAUAAGGAUCCUUAACUUAUCAAGGUCUAUAAUCCUCGUCCAAUUUUGUUAAGUUUUCCUCAUGUCUCCUUGAUUUCUUCCGAAACCUCUUUCUCAAGCUUAUAGUUUUUUAAGGCUUACACAUACUUUUAAAGUGGGUCAUCCUUUUUUGACUUCCAAAAAUAAAGAUGGAUUUAUUGAGAAUUUAUCUAUGCUUGGUAUCAUAGUGUACUGUUAUCUUCAAGUUUAUCCAGUAGGGGUGACUCCCAAAAUCUCAAUCAUUAAUCGGGUUCUUUUAAGGUCUUUAUGUAUGGAAUUCCUCCUUAUAGCUACUUA